rnacentral:rRNA from 1 species
CACGUAGGCACCAAGCGUUGUCCGGAUUUAUUGGGCGUAAAGCGUGCGCAGGCGGUUAUUUAAGUCAGGUGUGAAAGCCCUGGGCUUAACCUAGGAAUUGCGCUUGAGACUGGAUAGCUUGGAGUGCGGCAGAGGGAGGUGGAAUUCCACGUGUAGCAGUGAAAUGCGUAGAGAUGUGGAGGAACACCGAUGGCGAAGGCAGCCUCCUGGGCCAGCACUGACGCUCAUGCACGAAAGCGUGGGGAGCAAACAGG